rnacentral:tRNA from 1 species
CGGGGCGUAGCGCAGUUGGUAGCGCACACGGUUCGGGACCGUGAGGCCGCUGGUUCAAAUCCAGUCGCCCCGA